rnacentral:rRNA from 1 species
UACAGAGGUGGCGAGCGUUGUUCGGAAUCACUGGGCGUAAAGGGAGCGUAGGCGGCGUGGUAAGUCAGAUGUGAAAUCCCGGGGCUCAACCCCGGAACUGCAUCCGAUACUGCCGUGCUAGAGGAUUGGAGAGGUAGCUGGAAUUCUUGGUGUAGCAGUGAAAUGCGUGGAGAUCAAGAGGAACACUCGUGGCGAAAGCGAGCUACUGGACAAUAUCUGACGCUGAGGCUCGAAGGCCAGGGUAGCGAAAGGG